ensembl:lncRNA
CAGCUUCACUAAUUUGCACUUGUCUUUACUGAAUUCAUUUUUCUUGUCUUCAGACUACAACCGUAGCUCAUUAAGACAGCUAUAAGUGAGGAGACGAGUGAAUUAUCAGCAACACUUCUGGUCGCACUUGCAUCCUUUGCAAUCUACCACUCAAUUCACUACAGAAAGUAGACCCUAAGCAGAACACUCAAAACACCCUUUUGAUCCUACAGCAAACUGUUUUUGAGGUCUGCAACCCCUCCAUCCCUUACGACAAACCACUGCACCAGGCGGUAGCACAGCUCAGAGCUGGUAACUCAUACAGCGUAAAUAAAGAUGGAUGAGUUCUGCAGUCAAUCCAAGCUUUCUUAAAACUUAUUAUCCAUUCAUCAUCAAGGAUCACAGUCACCUUCUGAUUUUUCUUCAAGUCCUAUUUUCCAAGGAACCAAAACAGCAUGAAAAGUAAGUAGCUUGGAGGAAGAAAAAGACACCUGGGACAAUAAACAAAGCUGCUGCUUUCCAGGGAAGAAGGACAGGAGGAAACACUGCAGACCAAUAGAAGGAACAAGGCCACGUGCACAGACUCCAGCUUGUUUGCUCAUGCUUUCCAUAUGCCAAGGAUGCACACACAGCCUUAGGUGAGCUCUGUCCUAGCAGGUGAGCCAACGUCCUACCGGGAAACAAAUCUCAGUGUCAUGUAUGAGCAUUCUGUGAGUCCCCAGGAUACAGAAUGUGGGCAUGCAACGACCCUUCAGCCUCUUUUCUCUAGGGUCUGCUACUGAGACCGAGAGCUUUCCUGGGAGGCUGAGGGCUGCUGCAAUAGGGCCAGCACCUCAUGCUGCAGCUCCAUUUGUCACUGAACACUUCAGAG